AAUCUUCCGCAAUGGACGAAAGUCUGACGGAGCAACGCCGCGUGAGUGAUGAAGGUUUUCGGAUCGUAAAACUCUGUUGUUAGGGAAGAACAAGUAUCGGAGUAACUGCCGGUACCUUGACGGUACCUAACCAACAAGCCACGGCUACAUACGUGCCAGCAGCCGCGGUAAUACGGAGGUUGCAAGCGUUUUUCGGAAUUAGUGGGCGUAAAGCGCGCGUAGGCGGUAUUUUAAGUCUGAUGUGAAAGCCCCCGGCUCAACCGGGGAGGGUCAUUGGAAACUGGGAGACUUGAGUGCAGAAGAGAAGGGUGGAAUUCCACGUGUAGCGGUGAAAUGCGUAGAGAUGUGGAGGAACACCAGUGGCGAAGGCGACUCUUUGGUCUGUAACUGACGCUGAGGCGCGAAAGCGUGGGGAGCAAAC
rnacentral:rRNA from 1 species